GACGAACGCUGGCGGCGUGCUUAACACAUGCAAGUCGUACGGUAAGGCCCUUUCGGGGGUCCUCGAGUGACGAACGGGUGAGUAACACGUGAGUAACCUGCCCCCAACUUUGGGAUAACGCUAGGAAACUGGUGCUAAUACUGGAUAUGUGCUCCUGCUGCAUGGUGGGGGUUGGAAAGCUCCGGCGGUUGUGGAUGGACUCGCGGCGUAUCAGCUUGUUGGUGGGGUAGUGGCCUACCAAGGCGGCGACGGGUAGCCGGCCUGAGAGGGGGACCGGCCACACUGGGCCUGAGAUACGGCCAAGACGCCGACGGGAGGCAGCAGUGGGGAAUGGUGCCCAAUAGGCGCCAGCCUGAGUCAGCGACGCCGCGUGCGUGAUGACGGCCUUCGGGUUGUAAGCCGCUUUCAGCAGGGACGAAGCUUUUUGUGACGGUACCUGCUGAAGAAGCACCGGCUAACUACGUG
rnacentral:rRNA from 1 species